GAGGAGGAGGGAGCAGCCAUUGAGACGGAACUGGUUUUCUCAUUGGUCAUCUGGAAUUAAGAACUUCUGAGAUCAGCGUGAAAACCAAUUCCGUCAUUUCGUCGUCAUUGAGUCUUCGCU
rnacentral:pre_miRNA from 10 species